rnacentral:rRNA from 1 species
GACGAACGCUGACGGCGUGCUUAACACAUGCAAGUCGAAGGGCGUGGCGAACGGGUGAGUAACACGUGAGUAACCUGCCCUUUUCUUUGGGAUAAGCCUGGGAAACUGGGUCUACUACUGGAUGGAUUGGGAUGGGAUCGGGGCUUAUCAGCUUGUUGGUGGGGGGAUGGCUUACCAAGGCUUUGACGGGUAGCCGGACUGACAGGGUGUGUGGUCCCACUUGGACUGCGAGACGGCCCAGACUCCUACGGGAGGCAGCAGUGGGGGAUAUUGCACAAUGGACGAAAGUCUGAUGCAGCGACGUCGUGUGGGGUAUGAAGGCCUUCGGGUUGUAAACUCCUUUCGCCCGCGGAAUGGUAGUGGGUAAAGAAGCGCCGGCUAACUACGUGCCAGCAGCCGCGGUAAUUC